rnacentral:lncRNA from 1 species
AUUUUUUGUUCCAUUUGCAGAUUCAAUUUGCAUUUUAAUUUCCCCCUGGUUUAUCAAAGUCCAGCCAGUGACAUGAGCUGUUGUUUCUGUUCAGGUUGAACGCACCCCCGUGAGGAUCAGCUCUGGAUGGAAAGUCAGGUUACUGUCAAAGGGAACAUCUCCUCCACCUUUAGAAUGCUGGAAGAAGAUAGAGAUUUACAUCCUGUAAUAUUUCAUGUGAUUUCUUGUACCAGUUAGACUGUGAUUUUGAGCUAAAAUAAACUUUGGUUAUGUCAAACUACUUAACUAAGG